GACGUAGGGGGCCAGCGUUGUUCGGAAUUACUGGGUGUAAAGGGUUCGUAGGCGGUGUGGCAAGUCGGGAGUGAAAUCUCUGGGCUUAACCCAGGGGCUGCUUCCGAAACUGCCGUGCUAGAGUGUGGGAGAGGCGCGUGGAAUUGCAGGUGUAGCGGUGAAAUGCGUAGAUAUCUGCAGGAACACCCGUGGCGAAAGCGGCGCGCUGGACCACUACUGACGCUGAGGAACGAAAGCUAGGGGAGCAAACAGG
rnacentral:rRNA from 1 species